rnacentral:rRNA from 1 species
AGGCAGCAGUGGGGAAUUUUGGACAAUGGGCGCAAGCCUGAUCCAGCAAUGCCGCGUGCAGGAUGAAGGCCUUCGGGUUGUAAACUGCUUUUGUACGGAACGAAACGGCCUUUUUUAAUACAGAGGGCUAAUGACGGUACCGUAAGAAUAAGCACCGGCUAACUACGUGCCAGCAGCCGCGGUAAUACGUAGGGUGCGAGCGUUAAUCGGAAUUACUGGGCGUAAAGCGUGCGCAGGCGGUUAUGUAAGACAGAUGUGAAAUCCCCGGGCUCAACCUGGGACCUGCAUUUGUGACUGCAUAGCUAGAGUACGGUAGAGGGGGAUGGAAUUCCGCGUGUAGCAGUGAAAUGCGUAGAUAUGCGGAGGAACACCGAUGGCGAAGGCAAUCCCCUGGACCUGUACUGACGCUCAUGCACGAAAGCGUGGGGAGCAAACAGGAUUAGAUACCCUGGUAG